rnacentral:tRNA from 1 species
GCCCUUGUAGCUUAAAGGAAGAGCGACUGGCUACGAACCAGUAGGCUUCAGGUUCGAAUCCUGACAAGGGUUCCA